UACGUAGGGUCCGAGCGUUGUCCGGAAUUAUUGGGCGUAAAGAGCUCGUAGGUGGCUUGUCGCGUCUGCCGUGAAAGCCCAUGGCUUAACUGUGGGUCUGCGGUGGAUACGGGCAGGCUGGAGGCUGGUAGGGGCAAGCGGAAUUCCUGGUGUAGCGGUGAAAUGCGCAGAUAUCAGGAGGAACACCGGUGGCGAAGGCGGCUUGCUGGGCCAGUUCUGACGCUGAGGAGCGAAAGCGUGGGGAGCGAACAGG
rnacentral:rRNA from 1 species